UGUCCCACUUGUUGUUGAUUCUUCACAAAAAAAUACAGUUUGAUAUCUUUGUUUGAAGCCUGAAAUGUGGCAAAAGGUCGCAAAGUUCAAGGGGGCCGAAUACUUUCGCAAGGCACUGUAUGUUACUGCUAAAACCUGCUUUUGAUUGGUCUUAACUAUCCCUGUCAAAGCUGCCUGAAAUUAGCACUUUGGAUCAUGUUUUUAAGGACACACCUAAAAUAUUUCCACUCCUCCCAUCUGAGCGCAAGUGAGCUGAUAUAACACGGGUAAAUUGCAUAACCUGCCGUUGGGCCUGGAAAAUGCUAGUGCAACAGUUUUUACAUGAAGAAAUUACAAACUAUAAUGCGUUUGAAACUUUUGAUGCCUUCACGCCAGCUGAAAAUAAAGGCCUUAGUCUCUGGUAGACCCUGAAGUCCUAUUGAGUAGACCCUGAAGUCCUAUUGAGUAGACCCUGAAGUCCUAUUGAGUAGACCCUGAAGUCCUAUUGAGUAGACCCUGAAGUCCUAUUGAGUAGACCCUGAAGUCCUAUUGAGUAGACCCUGAAGUCCUAUUGAGUAGACCCUGAAGUCCUGUUGAGUAGACCCUGAAGUCCUGUUGAGUAGACCCUGAAGUCCUGUUGAGUAGACCCUGAAGUCCUGUUGAGUAGACCCUGAAGUCCUGAGUAGACCCUGAAGUCCUGUUGAGUAGACCCUGAAGUCCUGUUGAGUAGACCCUGAAGUCCUGUUGAGUAGACCCUGGAGUCCUGUUGAGUAGACCCUGGAGUCCUGUUGAGUAGUCCUGUUGAUCCUGUUGAGUAGACCCUGGAGUCCUGUUGAGUAGACCCUGGAGUCCUAUUGAGUAGACCCUGGAGUCCUAUUGAGUAGACCCUGGAGUCCUAUUGAGUAGACCCUGAAGUCCUAUUGAGUAGACCCUGAAGUCCUAUUGAGUAAAAUAAUCUGCACUUUGUUUGCACCCCCCUUCCAUUGUGAAAAGCAAAUGUCUCGGUAACUUGUUAGCUUUUAACUUUGUUUGCAUGUAAAUAAAUAUUUUUUUCCUAGACUCAAUGCGGUUACAAACGGCCUCCACACUUCACCACAGACCCCUCUAGUGAAUGGCAACAUUUUUGUCUUAUUGUCCCUCAGCCCCAAUGUUGGCAGAUAGGAGAGGUUACAGCAAUGGGACGGGGUCAUGGGUUCAUUAUACUUCAAACAGAGUCAUUAGGCUGUUCGCUAAAAUCUAUCCUUUUGUAGCAGAAACAGCUUGAGCGGGGCAAACCACGCUUUUCACCAAUAUCCCACAGUCUGAACCAGGGCUAGACCUGCCAGUGGGCCAGCAACAGUCCAAACCUUAAUCCACUGUGACAUCAAUUAAGAAUAAUCUCAUCACUUUUAGAGAUUGGGCUUGUCAAAGCUUUAAUUAAGUUCUCUCGGUGUCUCUCCUAUAUAGUGCAGACAAGAUCAACAACACAUUAUGGUAUAGUGAUGGACUUUAGAAUCCCAGAGGCGAUUUGUGUGGAUGUCACUUUUAACCUGGUGUGAACUUGGGUCUCUGGAGAAAUCUUCUAUAUUAGUUUACAGUUGGAAAAUUUAUAUGUUCAGCUCCUUAUUGAUUUAAAUGACUUCCAAUAGUAGUCGGAAUGAACGAUCAAUAUGAUGGCAUUUUGAGCUUUGUUUUGUUGUGACUUAGAAAUGUUGUAGAUUCCGAUGAUUCUCUGUAAAGGUACUACAGUGGGGUCUGAAAUUAUUGACACUUGAUAAAUAUGCAAAAAUGACUGUAAAAUAAAUUAUUCAAAUACUGAGCUAUAUUGUAUGCUCCAAAAAAUUGGGAAAUCUUAUUUUUUUUUUGGUGGAUUUGGUCUUGAAAUGAGAAGACACAAGCUGAAAAUAACCCCAUCUCUACUGUCAAAUAUGGUGGUAGCUCUGAUGUUAUGAGCUAUUUUUCUUCCACUGGUCCAGGGUCCCUUGUUAAAGUCAACGGCAUCAUGAACUCUACCAAGUAACAGGACAUUUUAGCCAAAAACCUGGUUGCC
ensembl:lncRNA